UGGGGAAUUUUGGACAAUGGGCGCAAGCCUAAUCCAGCCAUGCCGCGUGCAGGAUGAAGGCCUUCGGGUUGUAAAGCUCUUUCGGCCGGGAAGAAAUCGCAUGGGUUAAUACCCUGUGUGGAUGACGGUACCGGAAUAAGAAGCACCGGCUAACUACGUGCCAGCAGCCGCGGUAAUACGUAGGGUGCGAGCGUUAAUCGGAAUUACUGGGCGUAAAGCGUGCGCAGGCGGUUUAGUAAGACAGGCGUGAAAUCCCCGGGCUCAACCUGGGAACUGCGCUUGUGACUGCUAAGCUAGAGUACGGCAGAGGGGGGUGGAAUUCCACGUGUAGCAGUGAAAUGCGUAGAGAUGUGGAGGAACACCGAUGGCGAAGGCAGCCCCCUGGGCCGAUACUGACGCUCAUGCACGAAAGCGUGGGUAGCAAACA
rnacentral:rRNA from 1 species